GGAAGUUGAGGGCAUUUUGUACGAAACUCUCCGUCCACUCUCCGCCGCCGGCACCACCACAACCGCCACCGACGACAUACCUCCGUCGUUGUCGUCCUCCGAUGAGCAUGAACCCUACGUCGUAUUCCGGAACCAGAUUUCACUAUCCAAUCUCCAGUGUCCCUCACCGGAAACUGCCGCGCCUGAUUACUUUUCACUCGACCUCGAUGGAGACGCUUCCGACUUGAAUAACGGUUCCGUAUCGACGCCGGUACCAGCUGCCACUCCUUUGCGGGAUAAAGAAGUAGAGAGAGGACUUGAAGGCAAUUGGUUUCGCGCUAAUUGUCGGUUUAAGAGUCCCAUGCUUCAGCUUCACCAAGAGAUAAUAGAUUUUUGUGAGUUUUUAUCACCUACACUGGAGGAGCAAGCAUCUCGUAAUGAAGCAGUAGAAUGUGUUUUUAAUGUUAUUAAAUAUAUCUGGCCCAACUGCAAGCCAGAGGUCUUUGGAUCAUUCAAGACAGGGCUUUAUCUUCCCA
rnacentral:misc_RNA from 1 species